AUUGAACGCUGGCGGCAGGCCUAACACAUGCAAGUCGAGCGGUAGAGAGGUGCUUGCAUCUCUUGAGAGCGGCGGACGGGUGAGUAAUGCCUAGGAAUCUGCCUAGUGGUGGGGGAUAACGUUCGGAAACGGACGCUAAUACCGCAUACGUCCUACGGGAGAAAGCGGGGGAUCUUCGGACCUCGCGCCAUUAGAUGAGCCUAGGUCGGAUUAGCUAGUUGGUGAGGUAAUGGCUCACCAAGGCGACGAUCCGUAACUGGUCUGAGAGGAUGAUCAGUCACACUGGAACUGAGACACGGUCCAGACUCCUACGGGAGGCAGCAGUGGGGAAUAUUGGACAAUGGGCGAAGACCUGAUCAGCCAUGCCGCGUGUGUGAAGAAGGUCUUCGGAUUGUAAAGCACUUUAAGUUGGGUAGGAAAGGGUAGUAACCUAAUACGUUGCUACUUUGACGUUACCGACAGAA
rnacentral:rRNA from 1 species